rnacentral:misc_RNA from 1 species
AAUUUAUGGAUUUAUAUCAUCCAAAUUUAUAUUUUUAUAAACUUUGUAUAGUUGGUAGGGCCUAUUUCUUAUUGGAAGGAAACUUAUAGCUCUUGCCUAUUCAGGAUUUAUUAUUUUGUAAAGGCUUUCAAACUGCUAAUAUUAGAAUAUAAAUUCCGAACCUGUAAUGUAUACUGACUUCUGUUACUUCUGUAAGGGUCCAAGUAACUAGGAUUAGAUCAAAAGGUUUUUGGGCCCCAGAUCUCAAUUUGUUUUAUGUACUUCAAUGCCUGUAGCAUUAGGCUUCACUAGAAUUACACUAUUCUCCUUUGUUGUUGAUGUGUUUGGCAUUUCUCCUACUGAAAGUGCUGCUAUAGAAAGCUAAUAGCAAAGCAAAUGUGUUGAUGUGCUAUAUGUGACUAUCAUCCUAAACAAGGAUCAGUAUUAUUAAGGCGAAAGGCAAACUAGGGCCACAGAGUACCCUAUGACGGUAUGGCCUUAGGUGAGGGCCUUUUUGGCGCUAUAGCCUAAAUUGCCUAAAUUAUA